rnacentral:rRNA from 1 species
AGCGAACGCUGGCGGCGUGCUUAACACAUGCAAGUCGAGCGAGAAAGGGGGCUUCGGCCCCUCGAGUACAGCGGCGAACGGGUGCGUAAUACAUGAGCAAUCUACCCUUGAGGCGGGAAUAACCCAGCGAAAGUUGGGCUAAUACCGGAUAAGACCACAAGAGGAGACUCUAGAGGCUAAAGGCAGCUCUCUUUUGAGGGCGGCCCUUUGAGGAGGAGCUCAUGUCCUA